ensembl:lncRNA
GUGGCAGAUUGACAAGCUCUCGCUAUGCCGCUGCCUCUCUGCAUUUCUCUUCCUGGUUGGUGUGAUAAGAGCAGCUUUCCUCUGCCCUGGAUCUUCCAUCACACCACUGACCAUGCAAGCUUCUAAUAUGUGAGCCAAAAUAAACUUCUGGUCCUUUAAGUUGCAGAUGUUCAGUAAUUUGUGCCAGUCACUAAGAGAGUGAUUAACACAGCUGUAUAGACCUGUCACGGUACAUUAACAAAGCUCAGACCUGGCAGCCUGAGAGAAGGAAGACCAUAUUUUCUUAUUUGGUUGAAGAGUAUUGGCAUUAAUCUAUGCCAAGAGUAAACAGAGUAUGGUUUGCAGAUGUUUUGAUAUGGCCUGUCUGAUCACUUGUAUAAUCAAGAAAAAAGGACUACCUUCUAUAACAAAAAAUAUUGAAAAAAAUUCCUGGAUGUACAUGACAGAUGAUGCCCUGAUACUGUGUACCAUAUUUCAGAGCCGAGGAAGCUGUAGAAAAAUAUCUGAAGCUAGCAGAGGUUGGUUCAUGAUGUUUAAGGAAAGAAGCCAUGACGAUGCUGAUCUGGAUUAUUCAUCGAUGAGCUCUAAAUAGCAAGAUUCCUGUUCUCCAAGAACCAGGAACCAUGAAUGUACAAAUCUGUUUUCUUCUUGCUGCAGUUAGUGUGUUUAUACUAUCAAUAUUUCAAUCCUUAAAGAAAUUAAGGUAUUGACUCCAGCCCCCAAAAG